rnacentral:rRNA from 1 species
UACGUAGGGUGCAGGCGUUAAUCGGAAUUACUGGGCGUAAAGCGUGCGCAGGCGGUCUUUUAAGUCAGACGUGAAAUCCCCCGGCUUAACCUGGGAACUGCGUCUGAUACUGGAAGGCUUGAGUUCGGGAGAGGGAUGUGGAAUUCCAGGUGUAGCGGUGAAAUGCGUAGAUAUCUGGAGGAACACCGGUGGCGAAGGCGGCAUCCUGGACCGAUACUGACGCUGAGGAGCGAAAGCCAGGGGAGCAAACGGG